rnacentral:rRNA from 1 species
GAUGAACGCUAGCUACAGGCUUAACACAUGCAAGUCGAGGGCCCGGCGCACGGGUGAGUAACACGUAUCCAACCUGUCCUUUACUCUGUGAUAGCCUUUCGCAAGAAAGAUUCUUACCCGAUAUAAAGAAUGGGGAUGCUUUCAAUUAGUUUGUUGGUGAGGUAACGGCUCACCAAGCCUACGAUGGAUAGGGGUUCUGAGAGGAAGGUCCCCCACAUUGGAACUGAGACAAGGUCCAAACUCCUACGGGAGGCAGCAGUGAGGAAUAUUGGUCAAUGGGCGCUAGCCUGAACCAGCCAAGUAGCGUGAAGGAUGAAGGCUUAUGGGUUGUAAACUUCUUUUAUAUAAGAAUAUGUAUUAUAUGAAUAAGGAUCGGCUAACUCCGUGCCAGCAGCCGCGGUAAUUC